UAUUGUGUGGAAGUGGAGCGGAAGGACAAAAAGCACACGACACACUUCGUUUGCAUAUUUCCUUAGCGGAGGAAAAGAAACCAACAGGGAUUGCCUUAGUAACGGCGAGUGAAGCGGCAAAAGCUCAAAUUUGAAAUCUGGCACCUUCGGUGUCCGAGUUGUAAUUUGAAGAAGGUAACUUUGGAGUUGGCUCUUGUCUAUGUUCCUUGGAACAGGACGUCACAGAGGGUGAGAAUCCCGUGCGAUGAGAUGCCCAAUUCUAUGUAAAGUGCUUUCGAAGAGUCGAGUUGUUUGGGAAUGCAGCUCUAAGUGGGUGGUAAAUUCCAUCUAAAGCUAAAUAUUGGCGAGAGACCGAUAGCGAACAAGUACAGUGAUGGAAAGAUGAAAAGAACUUUGAAAAGAGAGUGAAAAAGUACGUGAAAUUGUUGAAAGGGAAGGGCUUGAGAUCAGACUUGGUAUUUUGCGAUCCUUUCCUUCUUGGUUGGGUUCCUCGCAGCUUACUGGGCCAGCAUC
rnacentral:rRNA from 1 species